rnacentral:rRNA from 1 species
GUAGGUGGCAAGCGUUGUCCGGAAUUAUUGGGCGUAAAGCGCGCGCAGGCGGUUCUUUAAGUCUGAUGUGAAAGCCCACGGCUCAACCGUGGAGGGUCAUUGGAAACUGGAGAACUUGAGUACAGAAGAGGAAAGCGGAAUUCCACGUGUAGCGGUGAAAUGCGUAGAGAUGUGGAGGAACACCAGUGGCGAAGGCGGCUUUUCUGGUCUGUAACUGACGCUGAGGCGCGAAAGCGUGGGGAGCAAACAGGGAUUAGAUACCCUGGUAGUCCACGCCGUAAACGAUGAGUGCUAAGUGUUACGGGGGUUUUCCGCCCCCUUAGUGCUGCAGCUAACGCAUUAAGCACUCCGCCUGGGGAGUACGCCGCAAGGCUG